CACCCAUCCUCUAGUUGGGGAGCCCAGCCCAGGACUCAUCAUUCUUAUGUGGGACCUAGCCUGCACCCUCACACCCCCUUCCCCUAAGCCCCAGGACCAGCAUGCAGGCCAUCCCGCCCUCCCAGCAUUGAGACCACCUGACAAGUCCUCCAUUCCUCCUACCUGCCCAGGCCCCUGUCCUGCAGUACCUGUAUUACCUGGCUCAGAUUGGCAUUGCCAUGUCCCCACUCAGCAACAACAGCCUGUUCCUCAGCUACCACCGGAACCCUCUACCUGAGUACUUGUCCCGUGGCCUCAUGGUCUCGCUGUCCACGGAUGACCCCUUGCAGUUCCACUUCACCAAGGUCAGACCCAGGCCAGCGGGAGGGCAGCCAAGGCCGGGUGUCUGGGGGAUACUGGGUGUCUCUGGGUUGGUGCUGCCCCCUUGCUGGUGGAACUUAGCAACUGUUAGCUAAGUCCUUGAGGGAGGGAGGGAGGGACUACAGGGCCUGAUGCCUCCCUCAAGGAACCUGGCCUGUGCAGGAGCCCCUGAUGGAGGAGUACAGCAUCGCCACCCAGGUGUGGAAGCUCAGCUCCUGUGAUAUGUGUGAGCUGGCCCGAAACAGUGUGCUCAUGAGCGGCUUCUCUCACAAGGUACGACACUGAACUUGCCUGGGGCUGGGCAUCACCUUUCUCCCUUUGCACUUUGGGUCCUGUGAUCAUGAUCUACUGCGUCUCUCCCUGAUACCUACACCCCUGCAGGUGAAGAGCCACUGGCUGGGACCCAACUAUACCA
rnacentral:lncRNA from 1 species